UACGUAGGGCGCAAGCGUUAUCCGGAAUUAUUGGGCGUAAAGAGCUCGUAGGCGGUUUGUCGCGUCUGCCGUGAAAGUCCGGGCUCAACUCCGGAUCUGCGGUGGGUACGGGCAGACUAGAGUGAUGUAGGGGAGACUGGAAUUCCUGGUGUAGCGGUGAAAUGCGCAGAUAUCAGGAGGAACACCGAUGGCGAAGGCAGGUCUCUGGGCAGUAACUGACGCUGAGGAGCGAAAGCGUGGGGAGCAAACAGG
rnacentral:rRNA from 1 species